GCCUUCGUGGUGUAACGGUAGCACACUGAGCGCGUAUUUCCAGAGACCCAGGUUCGAGUCCCGGAGAGGGCA
rnacentral:tRNA from 1 species